GACGAACGCUGGCGGCGUGCUUAACACAUGCAAGUCGAACGGAAAGGCCUCUUUCGGGGGGUACUCGAGUGGCGAACGGGUGAGUAACACGUGAGUAACCUGCCCUUGACUUUGGGAUAACUUCAGGAAACUGGGGCUAAUACCGGAUAGGAGCUCCUGCUGCAUGGUGGGGGUUGGAAAGUUUCGGCGGUUGGGGAUGGACUCGCGGCUUAUCAGCUUGUUGGUGGGGUAGUGGCUUACCGAGGCUUUGACGGGUAGCCGGCCUGAGAGGGUGACCGGCCACAUUGGGACUGAGAUACGGCCCAGACUCCUACGGGAGGCAGCAGUGGGGAAUAUUGCACAAUGGGUGGAAGCCGGAUGCAGCAACGCCGUGUGCGGGAUGACGGCCUUCGGGUUGUAAACCGCUUUCGCUCAUGACGAAGCUUUGUGUGACGGUAGUGGGUAAAGAAGCACCGGCUAACUACGUG
rnacentral:rRNA from 1 species